GACGAACGCUGGCGGCGUGUUUAAGACAUGCAAGUCGCACGGAUUCGUUUGUGUAGCAAUACUCGGACGGCUCAGUGGCGCACGGGUGAGUAACACGUGAAUGACAUGCCCCGCAGAGGGGGAUAGCCCAGGGAAACUUGGAUUAAUACCCCAUGGCAUCGCAGGAUUAAAGGGUGGCCGCAAGGCUGCCGCUGCGGGAUUGGUUCGCGUUCUAUCAGCUUGUUGGCGGGGUAACGGCCCACCAAGGCUACGACGGAUACCUGGUCUGAGAGGACGAUCAGGCACACUGGAACUGAGACACGGUCCAGACACCUACGGGUGGCAGCAGUCGAGAAUAAUUCACAAUGGGGGCAACCCUGAUGGUGCAACGCCGCGUGGAGGAUGAAGGUCUUCGGAUUGUAAACUCCUGUCAUCCGGGAGCAAGACCUGACGGUGAAGAGCCGGCAGGGUUGAUAGUACCGGAAGAGGAAGGGACGGCUAACUUCGUGCCAGCCGCCGCCGUAACAC
rnacentral:rRNA from 1 species